rnacentral:tRNA from 1 species
AGAGAAAUAGCACAGUGGUAGAGCAUAUGCCUAGCAUGCAUGAGGUCCUGGGUUCAACCCUAGUACCUCCA